CCAUUGGCAGUACUAAUGGAGGAGCCAGGGCCAGAACAGCGGUAUAGAUGGAGCUGCUGUCUGAUUUACUGCAUCCAGUGAAGACGAUUCUCACAGGUUAGAGCUGCGUCCCACCCAGGUCGGUGAUGGGAGGACAAACUGUAGCUCUGAGAUUUGGCUGGAGAUCUCAUGGUUACUGUGCUCCUGGCUUUUCUCUGCAAGCUUGUAGUCCAAGUGGAAAGAUUCAAGCCUUCUUUCAUUCAGGAAAAAAGUACCUCAGGAAGGAUUUGCUGAGGAACUUGCUUUCAAUUUAACUGCGUGACCAGACAAGAUCAAAGGAAAUUAGCUGAGACAGGAGGGAGACAAACAGACAGAAUGUCUGACUGACUCCACGAUUUAGAGAAAAAUUAUAAACUGUAAGAGAAAUACUGAGGACAUCUCUGAAGACUGUGCCAUAAACCCAAGGAUGCUCCACUUUGUUGAGGAAACAGAAACAGAUGUGCUGAUUUUAUUGAUCCACAGCCUAAUAUCUCACAUACAUAUAAGAGUCUUUUCUUGAAGACACCUUCACAGAGACAGUUUGGAUCCCUUGACUCUCAUUUUGCCCUGAAGGAUUGUUUCUAAGCCUAGGGUACACAGAAGUGCAAGGCCUGGCUUUGGGGUGUGUAAGCUUCAGGCGUGGAAUCAGUUGUAGCUGGAUCAUUGGGGCCCCACGUAGUAACUCUGAUCCCAUUUCCAUGAAGGCAGCAUUACCCAUGAGGGGUAGGUGGCAGGCUCUGGGAGGACUGUGGACACGAAAAACAGGACACAUUAAUCCACAAGAGAGCAAUACUGUAUGCUGGAGCAGGCUGAGGCACAUAUCGGAUGAUGGCAGCAGCAGUUCUCCCUGUGUGGUGGGAUGCCAGGGCACCUUGUGUCAUGCUUUUACUGCACAGCAACCCCUGGAUCUAAUUCAGUUUUGUCUGGCUCUUAGGAGGAAACAGUCCUUCUAACUCUGGCUGGCCACGCACUUCUUGCUCUCAUCUGACUCGUCUGCCACCUCACCACUGCUGGGUUCUCCAGCCCCAUGAAUUCCACUGUAUGGACUGCAAUCUGUUCUUCACUCGAGAAUCUCAAUUUUUUUUGGAAAAGAAAUGCAUUUUUGGCCUCUGUGGCUUCAGAAAAAAAUCUUAAAUAUGUGAACUUUCCAUAAUGCGAAAGAGGGUGGACAGAUACAGUGCCAAGAUUUAUUAUUUUUAAGUCCGAGGCAUACUUUUUAGUAUAACUUAGAAAUUUUGAACCUUGACUUUUUUUUUUUUUUUUUUUUUUUUUUUUUUU